UCAUUCUACACAUUGUCUCAUCUUAUACUUUGUAUCUGACACUCCAGAAACAUCAAGAUGGUUUCUGGCAGUUAUCUCCUGGCCGUCAUCUUCAUUUCUAUUCAGGGAUCCUGUGGACAGAUUGUGAUGACCCAGACUCCAGAUUAUACCUCUGUGUCCCCAGGAGACACAGUCACCAUGUCAUGUAAAGCCAGUUCUGGUAUAGGCAGCUACUUAGCCUGGUACCAACAGAAAUCAGGAGAACGGCCAAAUCUUCUUAUAUACCGUGCAAGCAGCAGAUACACAGGAGUCCCAGACCGGUUCACUGGAUCUGGAUCUGGAACAGAUUUCACUCUGACAAUCAGAGGAGUGACAGAAGACGAUGAAGCAGAUUAUUACUGUCAGCAGUAUCAGAGCUUUCCUCUCACACAGUGAUACAGAGCCGUACAAAAACCUCCUUCCUCCUCCCCCAUUAUAUCUCUAUAAUAAAGCUUCAUACACAGCAGAAGAAGAAUAAAACCAUCAGAGCGAUCAGUGGUUUAUACUUUGUCUUCUCAUGUAAAUUGCCUUUUCCUGUUGUUGCAGUACCUCGGUGGACAGGAGUAUCUGCAAUUGUUAGGUAAUGCACUGUACUGUAAUGCUAUGGUAUACACUGCUAUGUAAUGUGACACACCCAGUAUGCUUCAUCAUGAGACAGGCAUGGCCAGAGUUAUCUCCCCUGGCUAACACCUCUCUGGAGCUUAGGGUGUAGGUUAGACCCUCGCCUUACUUCCUGAAGAAGACUCUACCUGUUAAGUGUCUGUAGUGUGAGGAUGGCCCUGGAGAAGACCAGGGAGAGAAAGAGAGAGAUCUCCCACUGCUUCCACUCUGCUAUCUCAUGGGCACGCUUCCACCAUGCUGUCUCACGGGCAAGCUUCCACCAUUCUGCCUUACGGGCACGCUUCCACUCUGCUAUCUCAUGGGCACGAUUCCACUCUGCUAUCUCACGGGCACACUUCCACCAUUCUGCCUCAUGGGCACGCUUCCACCAUUCUGCCUCAUGGGCACGCUUCCACCAUUCUGUCUCAUGGGCACGCUUCCACCAUUCUGCCUCAUGGGCACGCUUCCACCAUUCUGCCUCAUGGGCACGCUUCCACCAUUCUGUCUCAUGGGCACGCUUCCACCCUGCUUUCUCACGGGCACGCUUCCACCAUCCUGCCUCACGGGCACGCUUCCUCCCUCGGUUGAGCAGCAUUCACAGCCAUUUCCCACCAUUUCCAGACAGUAGCGGGGUCAAAACUACAGCUGCGAGGGUUGGUGAGGAGGGUAUCAAUUCUGUUAUUUAUUUACAGCACGUGCAGCCGCUGGAACAAUAAUUUUUUUCUUGUACUGGAAUAGCCCUUUAAAGGUUAAGGAAACAUUUGUACAUGAAAAAUGAAUAAACUCAUAUCUGGCUAAAUGCA